rnacentral:lncRNA from 1 species
GCAACGAGAGCUCAUCAGCUAGGCAAAUGGAUGGAACUUGAAAAUAUCAACCUGAGUGAGGAGACUCAGUCACAGAAGAACAUACAAGAUGGAGAAUUCUCAAGCUAUAAGUUCAGAACCAUGUCUGCUUCCGUGCAGGCAGGCUUUCAGUCAUGAUCACCUUGGACUAAAACUCUGAAAUUGUAAGCCAGCCACAAUUAAAUGCUUUCCUUUAUAGGAGUUGCCUUGGUUCUGGUGCCUCUUCACAGCAAUAGAACACUGGCUAAUUGAAAUAUAUGAAAAGAUAAUACAUGUAACAUACUUGGAAUUUUAAUAGACAUUCAAUAAUUACUAGCUAAUAAAAAAGAACCAUAAAGUAGAUACA